rnacentral:rRNA from 1 species
CUACGGGGCGCUGCAGUGGGGAAUAUUGCACAAUGGGCGCAAGCCUGAUGCAGCAACGCCGCGUGAGGGAUGAAGGCCUUCGGGUUGUAAACCUCUUUUAGCAGGGAAGAAGCGAAAGUGACGGUACCUGCAGAAAAAGCACCGGCUAACUACGUGCCAGCAGCCGCGGUAAUACGUAGGGUGCAAGCGUUGUCCGGAAUUAUUGGGCGUAAAGAGCUCGUAGGCGGUUUGUCACAUCUGCUGUGAAAAUCCAAGGCUCAACCUUGGACUUGCAGUGGGUACGGGCAGGCUAGAGUGCGGUAGGGGAGAUGGGAAUUCCUGGUGUAGCGGUGGAAUGCGCAGAUAUCAGGAGGAACACCAAUGGCGAAGGCACAUCUCUGGGCCGUAACUGACGCUGAGGAGCGAAAGCGUGGGGAGCGAACAGGAUUAGAUACCCGUGUAGUC